UCAAGCAGGCCGCGGUAAUACGAAGGGACCUAGCGUAGUUCGGAAUUACUGGGCUUAAAGAGUUCGUAGGUGGUUGAAAAAGUUGGUGGUGAAAUCCCAGAGCUUAACUCUGGAACUGCCAUCAAAACUUUUCAGCUAGAGUAUGAUAGAGGAAAGCAGAAUUUCUAGUGUAGAGGUGAAAUUCGUAGAUAUUAGAAAGAAUACCAAUUGCGAAGGCAGCUUUCUGGAUCAUUACUGACACUGAGGAACGAAAGCAUGGGUAGCGAAGAGGAUUAGAUACCCUCGUAGUCCAUGCCGUAAACGAUGUGUGUUAGACGUUGGAAAUUUAUUUUCAGUGUCGCAGGGAAACCGAUAAACACACCGCCUGGGGAGUACGACCGCAAGGUUAAAACUCAAAGGAAUUUGACGG
rnacentral:rRNA from 1 species